GCGGAUAUGGUUUAAUGGUCAAAUUUCUCUUUGCCAAGGAGAAGACGUGGGUUCGAUUCCCGCUAUCCGCC
rnacentral:tRNA from 1 species